UACGGGAGGCAGCAGUGGGGAAUUUUUGCCAAUGGGGGCAAGCCUGAUCGCAGCCAUGCCGCGUGAGUGAUGAAGGCCUUAGGGUUGUAAAGCUCUCGUCAGAGAUGAUAAUGACAGUAUCUG
rnacentral:rRNA from 1 species